rnacentral:rRNA from 1 species
UGGGGAAUUUUGGACAAUGGGCGCAAGCCUGAUCCAGCCAUGCCGCGUGCGGGAAGAAGGCCUUCGGGUUGUAAACCGCUUUUGUCAGGGAAGAAACGCUCUGGGCUAAUACCCUGGGGUAAUGACGGUACCUGAAGAAUAAGCACCGGCUAACUACGUGCCAGCAGCCGCGGUAAUACGUAGGGUGCAAGCGUUAAUCGGAAUUACUGGGCGUAAAGCGUGCGCAGGCGGUUUUGUAAGACAGGCGUGAAAUCCCCGGGCUCAACCUGGGAAUUGCGCUUGUGACUGCAAGGCUGGAGUGCGGCAGAGGGGGAUGGAAUUCCGCGUGUAGCAGUGAAAUGCGUAGAUAUGCGGAGGAACACCGAUGGCGAAGGCAAUCCCCUGGGCCUGCACUGACGCUCAUGCACGAAAGCGUGGGGAGCAAACAGGAUUAGAUACCCGUGUAGUCCCUGAGCGGGCUGGCAAGGCGCAU